CCCCUUUCGCAGCCAGCGUCCCUCGCCUAUAUUAGCUGCGUCAGCUUGCUGACUAUGGUGAUAAACGGUGCGUGGAAUAAACGUUGUGGACCCGGGGGCAGUACCCGGCGCCUCCACCAUUUUCCAGGCGUCCCGAUGACGAAGCGCUCACCGCGCCGUCUGAAUCGGGCCGCCCAGAUUUAUGGGGGCGAAACAGACUCGACACGCGUGGUAAAGACCCAUCUUUUGCCCGGCAUUGUACCGCCGUCAUCGGGCUAAUUUUUAAAUGCGAACGAUAACAACGUUGCAUUCGCCGUCGCUGCCUAAAAACAGCUAAGCGCGGUUCGGGGGGUACCGGGCAACAGAAACCCCCCACU
rnacentral:tmRNA from 1 species